CGGCAAGGCCGGCGCCUUCGGCGAUGCCGUCACCAUCACCCGCGAGAAGAGCAAGAUCACCGUCACCUCGGAUGGCCCCUUCUCUAAGCGAUAUCUGAAGUACUUGACAAAGAAAUACUUGAAGAAACAUAAUGUUCGUGACUGGCUCCGUGUGAUUGCGUCCAACAAGGAUCGCAACAUUUACGAGCUGAGGUACUUCAACAUUGCAGAUAAUGAAGGUGAAG
rnacentral:misc_RNA from 1 species